AGCUAGGUGCCUCACAGCUACUGCAGGAGUCCGAAUUAGGCAGCACAAGUAGAGUCUUCCUGUGCCUGGCUUAAACACCCGUUCAGCCAUGCUGUGUGUGGUUACACAGUGGCUGUGUUUACCCUUAGGGAUGGCGGCUUUUCUCCUUGUGGAGGAAAGCAAAAUAUGAAUGAGAAGCUGAGAUGCUUUGCAAACUGUGGAAGAGAAGAGACUUUUUGCCUCACUUCUCCCUCCCCUAAUCCUCAUCACCCUCCGGACAGGGUUUAUGUGAAAUGGUACCAUGCGGCGGUCUUACCGAAAGACAAAGUAGCAGAAGAUGGUGAAAAUCACAACUCGCUCCCUCCUCCACCCCCUGAACUCACUGAAGAAGGGGAAAUGGUGGGGUUAAGAAAAUAAAGUUCUCUCCCAGUAA